UACGGAGGGAGCUAGCGUUGUUCGGAAUUACUGGGCGUAAAGCGCACGUAGGCGGCUUUGUAAGUUAGAGGUGAAAGCCCGGGGCUCAACUCCGGAACUGCCUUUAAGACUGCAUCGCUUGAAUCCAGGAGAGGUGAGUGGAAUUCCGAGUGUAGAGGUGAAAUUCGUAGAUAUUCGGAAGAACACCAGUGGCGAAGGCGGCUCACUGGACCGGCAUUGACGCUGAGGUG
rnacentral:rRNA from 1 species